UGUUUGCCCAGCGGGUGAGCAGUAAGCUUUGUGCUUAUUCCUGGCUCCUGGAGAUCUGCCUCCAGGGAAACGCCUUCAGGGUCACAGUGAAAUCUCUGUGGCAGCUAAUAAAGAAACCCGUCUGCCUCUGGAACCCUGACCUGGGGAGGUGCAGGCUGGACUCCUCCUCCUCUCUGUCGCCAGACGAAGCAGAAAGGUGGGCAGAGUGCGGAGACCAAGGCUGGGAACCAGGAAGACUCAGCCCGAUUCAGCCCGGGCUCACGGCAGCUGCCACACUGGGGAUCCAGCCCUGGCUCUGCCGUGGGACCUCAGAAGACUCCCCCAACUCUCAAAGACUCAGUUUCCCCAACUGUAACACUGGG
rnacentral:lncRNA from 1 species